rnacentral:rRNA from 1 species
UACGUAGGGUGCAAGCGUUAAUCGGAAUUACUGGGCGUAAAGCGUGCGCAGGCGGUUCUAUAAGACAGAUGUGAAAUCCCCGGGCUCAACCUGGGAACUGCAUUUGUGACUGUAGAGCUGGAGUGCGGCAGAGGGGGAUGGAAUUCCGCGUGUAGCAGUGAAAUGCGUAGAUAUGCGGAGGAACACCGGUGGCGAAGGCGGCAUCCUGGACCAACACUGACACUGAGGAGCGAAAGUGUGGGGAGCGAACAGG